rnacentral:tRNA from 2 species
GGGGAUGUAGCUCAGAUGGGAGAGCGCUGCGUUCGCAAUGCAGAGGUCGGGAGUUCGAUCCUCCCCAUCUCCACCA